CCCAUGCUAGCUGGACUUCCCGGGGUGAUCACACAUGGCCACCUUUUCCCAGUUCGUUGGUCAAUAAGCUUUUAUUAAAGGUUACCAGGCGUCAGACAGUGUCUCCAUACAAAUACACUACAGGCGGGACAGAGAGGAAGUAAACAAGCCCGAGGGAAGGCAUUCCGAUGAAGAGGUGUUCCGGGAGCGUCCCUGAAGAAGAGGGCUGAAAGGAAGCUGGGGAAGCCGGGAGGAGAGGCCAUUGGUACGGGAGAGGUAGAGACCUCUCAUGUAUCUGGACUAGAUGAUCCCGGAGGCCAUGGAGUGUCAUCGAUCCUGCCUCCUCCCUCCAGGUACUUAGCAGAAACUAAGGAAAUGCUCAUUGUCUGCAUUCUGGAAGUUAUCAACAAUUGCUUAAUAAAUAACAGUCUAGAAUGAUUUCCGAAAAACCUGGAAAGAGUUACAUGAACUGGUGCAAAGCAAAGUGGGCAGAACCAGGAGAACAGUGUAUGCAGUAACCACAAUAAUGUAUGAUGACCAGCUGUGAGUGAUUUAAGGAUCCAGGACAAUUCUAAGAGACUCAUGAUGAGAAAGGCUAUUGUUAUCCACAUAGGGAACUGAUGGAGUCUGAAAGCAGAUCGAAGCAUCCCAUAUUUUACUUUAUUUCCUUCAUGAGUUUUUUCUUGUAUGUGUGAUUUGUGACUUCUUUCCCAACAUGAUGAAUAUGUCAAUGAGGUGCCCCAUGAGAGCAUAUGUAUAAUCUAUAUCAGAUUGCUUGCUGUCUUGGAAGGGAGAAGUAAAGAAGGGAGGGAGAGAAUUUGGAUCUCAAAAUGCCAGAAAACAAAUGUUAGGAGGCAGCUGGGUGGCACAGAGGAUAGAGAGCCUGGCCCAGAGACAGAAUGUCCUAAGGUCCACUUAACCCCCAUUGCCUAGCCCUUACCACUCUUCUGCCUUGAAACCAAUAUACAGUAUUGAGUCUAAGAUGGAAGGUAAGGAUAAGAAAAAAAGAAAGGAAGAAAGAAAGAAAGAAAGAAUAAAAAAGGAAAGAAGAAACA
rnacentral:lncRNA from 1 species